rnacentral:rRNA from 1 species
AACGAACGCUGGCGGCAUGCCUAACACAUGCAAGUCGAACGAGACCUUCGGGUCUAGUGGCGCACGGGUGCGUAACGCGUGGGAACCUGCCCUUAGGUUCGGAAUAACUCCCCGAAAGGGGUGCUAAUACCGGAUAAUGUCUUCGGACCAAAGAUUUAUCGCCUUUGGAUGGGCCCGCGUUGGAUUAGCUAGUUGGUAGGGUAAAAGCCUACCAAGGCGACGAUCCAUAGCUGGUCUGAGAGGAUGAUCAGCCACACUGGGACUGAGACACGGCCCAGACUCCUACGGGAGGCAGCAGUGGGGAAUAUUGGACAAUGGGCGAAAGCCUGAUCCAGCAAUGCCGCGUGAGUGAUGAAGGCAUUAGGGUUGUAAAGCUCUUUUACCCGGGAUGAUAAUGACAGUACCGGGAGAAUAAGCUCCGGCUAACUCCGU